rnacentral:rRNA from 1 species
AAUGAACGCUGGCGGCGCGCCUAAUACAUGCAAGUCGAGCGAGAAGACGUAGCAAUACGUUUGUAAAGCGGCGAACGGGUGAGGAAUACAUGGGUAACCUACCCUCGAGUGGGGAAUAACUAGCCGAAAGGUUAGCUAAUACCGCGUACGCUCCUUGGACUUCGGUUCAGGGAGGAAAGCGAUACCGUGGGUAUCGCGCUCUUGGUUGGGCUCAUGUCCUAUCAGCUUGUUGGGAGGUAACGGCUCACCAAGGCUUCGACGGGUAGCUGGUCUGAGAGGACGAUCAGCCACACUGGCACUGCGACACGGGCCAGACUCCUACGGGAGGCAGCAGUAAGGAAUAUUGCGCAAUGGGCGAAAGCCUGACGCAGCGACGCCGCGUGGGGGAUGAAGGUCUUCGGAUUGUAAACCCCUUUCGGGAGGGAAGAUGGAACGAGCAAUCGUUCGGACGGUACCUCC